GUGCGCGUCCAAACCGCAUCGGGCCCCGAGCGCGUGUCCGAGCGGCUUAAAGGGGCCGUGCUGCUGCCUUCGGGUACCGCUGCCCCGGGAGACCCCCGGCGGCCCGGCCCUGCGGGGACCGGGCGGGAUGGGGACCGGGGCAGUGGACCCUCGGAGUUGGGAUGGGGCGGGGGGAACGCGGGCGUGGAGCCCUCCGGGGACAGGCCAGCGCCCUGCUCCCCGGUCCUCAACCACCACCUUCCACCUGCCUGGGCCUUCAUCGCCUCCGAGCUCCCCUUCCACACCAAACCUGGCGUCCGUUUUCCUCCAGGCCUGCACCAGCACAGCUGAAGGGGAGAGAGACCCAACCUCAUCCACUGGGCCUCCCCUCAACCAGGGCCACAACCUCAAGGGGCCAUGCCACCUCCAACACCUAUUUCCCACCUUCUACUCUCUCCACACCCUGGGACACCACCCGCCUCUCUCAGCUGACGUUUUCCUUCUUGUUUUGUGUGCAUGGUGCUUGUGUGAGAAAGUGGACACACAGUAAGUGCGGCUUCCAGAUGCGUCCGCCACCUGCCCUCCGUGCCACGCGCUUCCCCCUACCUAGGGGAGCCUCCACCAGACAGGGAACCCACGCCUUGCCACCCUUCUCUCUCCCUCCCACUUCACCUGUCCGCAUCAUUUCUGGAGCCCUUUCUUUCUGGCACGAGAUGCUCCAGGGCCCUGUUGUAUUCUCCCUGCCCCAGCCUGAACCCAGCUAUUUCUGCUGCAGCCUGGUUCAUUGUGGGAGAAUGUCAUGCAGAGCCCGGGAUCUGGCUCCGGAUGUGCUCAUUGCUACUGGGGUGUCAUUGCAGCUGGCGGAGCAAGGGAACACAUCUAUGUACAUGCCCACACGCAUAUGUAUACACACAGUUUCAUGGG
rnacentral:lncRNA from 1 species